GUGACGAUAUCCUAGAGAGUUUGUUAAGUAGGGCUCUGGUUUGAGAGGAGGUAUUGUUUUGUCUCAACUUCGAGCCGUUGAUGCAGCACAGAAAUGCAUCCAACUGCAUAGUUCAGGAGUAUGAAUAUGGUUGGCUUUUGCAAUGUGACCGAUACAGGCAUAUCUGUGUGUGUCACAAAUAAUAAGAUUUCAAAAGUAUAGAGGUUUGUUCUAGUUCAUUCAUUAAGUGGAUGUUAUCUAGAGCCAGAAUAAUACGAAAGUCCGAC